AUCGCCGGCAAGCCAGCUCCCACUGGUACAGCGCAGUUCUUGAGUCUGCGCUGUACCAGUGGGAGCUGGCUUGCCGGCGAU
rnacentral:antisense_RNA from 1 species